rnacentral:tRNA from 1 species
CAGGGAGACAACAAAAUGUUUAAUAUUAUUAUUUUGUCACCUUAGGUCGAUCGGUAUCUCACGUUCUUAAUUAAUUAAGAAUUUCAAUUCCUAAGUUUCUCUAGGUCACACCCAUUAUUUUUCCUGGGCCAUUAGCUCAGGUGGUUAGAGCGCACCCCUGAUAAGGGUGAGGUCCCUGGUUCAAGUCCAGGAUGGCCCAUAUCUCUAUGUUGGGGGUAUAGCUCAGUUGGUAGAGCGCCUGCUUUGCAAGCAGGAUGUCAGCGGUUCGAGUCCGCUUACCUCCACUGAUUACCACCUCUUACAUAAUCUGUAGAAAGGAAAUUUUUUGAGUUGUGAUCAACUUCUGAACGAAUCUAGCUUCCUAAUGAAAGCAUUAAGAUGCUGGACUCAUUGAAUUAAUUUCAUUGUUUUCAGAGAACCUUGACAACUGCAUAGAUUUUUUUUAAAGACAAUAAGCAUCUUUAAUGAUGCAGAUUUAUUAUUCGUGCGAAUGCAUUAAUAACAAUUCUAUUAAGCUGAUGCUUCAAUUUUGGAGUUAUU